GGGGCGCGCGGGCGCGGCACUCACGUCCUCUUGAAGACGCCCCCGAGGGCGCUGCCCAGCAGGAGGCAGAGCUGCUGCGAGAAGAAGACCCAGGAGAUCUGGGGCAGGGAGCUGUGCGUCUGGCAGCGCAGGUCCAGCAGCGUGGGCCCCAGGAAGGCGAUGCACAGGCCGAAGCUGAAGAAGACGCUCCAGUAGGCUCCAGACAGGUGUGCAGUGCACGUGGGAAGCCCCAUGGCAACAGCUGGGGCUGGCCAAGUUACCAUCUAGACCAAGCUGCAGAGCCAGGAGCUUGUGGGCUCUACACAGGACCAAGUUCAAGUUCUCUGGCCACCAGAAGAUCCACAACUCGGAAGUGGAGUUUUACCAAGUUUACUGCAGAUGAACUCAAAGACAUGGUGGCCAAGAGGCAGCUCAUCCCAGAUUGCUGUGAGGUCUGAUGCAUCCCAAUCAUGGUCUCCUGGACAAGUGGCAGGUCCUGCACUCACAAAGAAUGAAGGUCGUUCUCCUGAGAUGGGAGAAUGAAGCAAGUGAGAAUUUCAUCAUCAUCAUAAACACCUCUAUCUUUCGGAAAAUGGAAGGUUCCAGAGCCCGAGGGGCUCCUUCUUCCUCUGCUCGGCUAUAAUGAGACAAGAAAAAUAAUAGGAACUGCUAUAGUUGUGUGUUAUGUAGUAAUAAUAAGCUGUAUUUGGUAUUUGCCUGGACUUGUAAAACUAAAAUCAUAAAACG